rnacentral:lncRNA from 1 species
GAGAACAAAUAAGGAACUGCAACAUCACCUCGUUCAAGAGUAAAGCUGUGGAAAGUCAACAAGAUCAACUAUCUCCAAAACCAGAUUUGCGUUCUUAAACUCUACUCUGUCUGGUUUUUACUUUGCCAUAUUUGUCAUGUUUAUUUGUCGUUUAUUAUUUGCUUGUUUUUGGUGUGAGUAUAUGCUUGAAACAUUGAGGACAAUGUUUGAUUUAAGUGUGGGGGGGUAACCAUUGUUUUGCAUGAAAUUCGUAGAAAUUUAUCACCUAUUACUUCUAGUGUUGUUCCUUGUUGUUUUAAGUAUUUUUUUUAAGCUGUUUUGGAGUGUUUCAAUGUGUUUUGACAUAAAAAAUCCGAAAAUUCAUAAAAAUUUGAAAAAAUUGUUUUUUGAAAAUCCAAAAAAAAGAGUUGUUUUUUUGUGCGCUUAUUUGUGUCUUAGGGUACCUUCCAACACAAUGAUGAGGAUUCGGUUUGUAAUUGCAUGACUGUUAAAGAGAGUUAUAAACAUGGAUGAAAGUUUGAUUUACUCUUUAUUUAUGCGUGGUUGUGGUUAUAACUUAUGAAAUCACAUGUAAUCAUAAAAGAAAAAAAUUAGUUUUUGUAACAUGCUUGAAGGAAAGAACUCAAACUAACGCUACAACCUUGUGAGACUUGAGCUUAAACGUUUAUUUGGAGAGUUAAAAUCUGUGCAUUCUUGUUUUCUAAAGUCAUUGCAUGAUCUCAUUAUUCUUUGCUUGGCUAUUACUUAGAAGGCGUUUCAUCAUUUAGUUCCAAAUGCUAGAACUCAUGCCUAUUUCAUUCAAAGCAUGCUAUUGAUUUGCAUAAAACAUAUUCAAGAUGAAGUUGUGUAGUUACCACCACCAAAGCCAAACUGCCAUGUAUCCCAUAUCGUUAUAUGUUUAAGUUAACCCCAUUGAGCCUUGAUAGCCUACAUUCUUUGUUAAACCACAUUAUCCUUACCUAGCCUAGUUUAGGAUCAUCCAUACCCUUGUUCUUGAAGCAUAGUAAAACAUGAUUCAAAUUGAAUUUCUUUUGAUUAAUGUAUGGCAGAGAAAACAAGUGUGGGGGAAGUGUGAGUUAUUAUGCUUGUUGAAAAGAAAAGAAGAGUUGAGAAAAAAAAAAAAAAAAAAAAAAAAAAAGUUUUAAAGUGCUGCUUGUUGAAGAAAGAGUCCAAAACAUAGAAUUCGGCCCUAAUUAUUGCCUGAAUUUUCCCUUCGUGUCUAAAAGCUGAUUUCUGCAAUCUAAGUGAAUUCUCUAAGUUUCAAUUUCAUUACUUUACUUGCUAUUGCUUUAAGAACGAUUGUUAUCCUUAUCCUUCAUUUGUUAGCCAUCACCCCAAGCCCCGUUUACAACCCUUAACUUCAUCUUGAGUGUCAUGCGUUUCAAUAUGUGGAGUUUGAAUUUGGUAUGAGCAUAUGGUGUCACUGGUUCUCGCAUCUAAGUAGUAGCAUUCCAUUCAUGAGAUCAUAUCUAAACAUGCUUAUUAACUCCAGAAAUUGCUUUCUUUGUGAUACAUAUAUGUGAGCGUUCGUUUUUCAUAUCUACAUCAAUCUUCUCACAUAUAACUAGUAUAGGGUGUGUAGUUAGAAAAUCUGAGUGAAAAUUGAGUUCAUAUCUUGUAAGGAAUUGAGUGAUUUCUCUAAGGCAUGUUACUACAUCAAAAACAUUGUUUUAAUUGAUUAAUUGUGAACUAGUAAGUGGUGACUAUGAUUAAGUAUGUGCUUAAGUGUAAAGAUGACUCAAAUCUGUGGGGAUAAUGAUUUUUAACAUGUCAUGUGCAUUGGAAAUCCCUGAGGCAAAUGUUGGAAGGUUUAGGUUGUGUUUUAUUUGUUUUGUUUCGUUUUAUCUCUUUGUUUUGCUCGAGGACUAGCAAAAGCUAAGUGUGGGGGAAUUUGAUAGGAGCAUAUUUAUGCGACUUAGUUGGCUUGUUCUUGUGCAUUUAUGUCGUGUUUCCUUAGUUAUUUUAAUGUUUAAAGUCAUUUUCGU